GUGCUAAGGUAGCAUAAUCAUUUGUCUUUUAAUUAAAGACUAGAACAAAAGAUUUAACAAUCAAAUUUUUUUCUUUAAAUUAAUUUUCAAAAUUAUUUUAAAUGUUAAAAAACAUUUAUUUCUUAGAAAGACAAUAAGACCCUGAUGAACUUAACUUCAGUUAAACUGGGGAAGUUAAUCAAUUAAUAUUUUUUUAAUAAUAUUUUCUAAAAUUACUAAUAUAUUUAAAAAUAACAAGUUACCACAGGGAUAACAGCGUAAUAAAAAUUUAAAGAUCUUAUAACAAUAAAUGAUUACGACCUCGAUGUUGAAUUAAUUAACUUCUUUUUGUAAAAGAAAAUGAAGGAGGUCUGUUCGACCUUUAAAUAGUUACAUGAUUUGAGUUCAGACCGGUACAAGCCAGGUCGGAUUCUAUCUUCUAUAAUUAUACUACAGUACGAAAGGACCUAAAUUAAUUAUUAUUCAAUUAGCAGACAAUUGCAUUAGAAUUAGAAUCUAAAUAAAAUUA
rnacentral:rRNA from 1 species